GGAUGGAUGACGUCGUUUUGGAGCACGAGCCCCAUUUGCUCGUAGUGUUGUUCCUUGAAGGUGGUCGUCUUGGAUACGUCUUCGUUAAAUUCGCCGAGUACCAUCAACCUCGUACUGGGAUGUAUCGUAAAUGCGUAUAACGCAUCAAGCGUAAGGUAUCGGCUUGGGAUACGGCGGCGACGUGGAGCCCGUCAACCAGCGGUAGGUCCUGGCGCCGUAUGCGCCGCGUCUCUCAGGCUGCAACGCUCGGGCCGGCCGCUGCUCUCUUUCGUUUGUCAUGGUUCUUUCCACCCUUGGAUCGACGAGUUCCGGAAGUAAGCAUCCCAAAUAGAACUUCUUCAACUCCGGAAGAGUCUUCGCCCAGAAGUCUUCAUCCUGAUGAACGUCAAGGACUCAUCCCGUUGAAUGAGGUCUGAUGGUGACCAUACGGCAAGCUUGCAGAACCGUCGCUUAGUCAUGUUCAGCUGCGUCUGUAUCUGAUAAAAGAUUUAUGAGA